UUUUUUUUUUUUUUUUUUUUUUUUUAUGUAGGAAGGACACUGGCCAAGGGCAACAAAAAUCCAAUAAAAAAAAUGCCCACUGAAAUGCCAGUCCCUAAAAGGGUCAAAGCAGUGGUCAAAAAUUGGUGGAUAAGUGUCUUGAAACCUCCCUCUUGAAGGGAUUCAAGUCAUAGGAAGGUGGAAAUACAGAAGCAGGCAAGGAGUUCCAGAGUUUACCAGAGAAAGGGAUGAAUGAUUGAGAAUACUGGUUAACUCUUGCGUUAGAGAGGUGGACAGAAUAGGAGUGAGAGAAAGAAGAAAGUCUUGUGCAGCGAGGCCGCGGAAGGAGGGGAGGCAUGCAGUUAGCAAGAUCAGAAGAGCAGUUAGCAUGAAAAUAGCGGUAGAAGACAGCUAGAGAUGCAACAUUGCGGCGGUGAGAGAGAGGCUGAAGACAGUCAGUUAGAGGAGAGGAGUUGAUGAGACGAAAAGCUUUUGAUUCCACCCUGUCUAGAACAGCAGUAUGAGUGGAACCCCCCCAGACAUGUGAAGCAUACUCCAUACAUGGACGGAUAAGGCCCUUGUACAGAGUUAGCAGCUGGGGGGGUGAGAAAAACUGGCGGAGACGUCUCAGAACACCUAACUUCAUAGAAGCUGUUUUAGCUAGAGAUGAGAUGUGAAGUUUCCAGUUCAGAUUAUAAGUAAAGGACAGACCGAGGAUGUUCAGUGUAGAAGAGGGGGAUAGUUGAGUGUCAUUGAAGAAGAGGGGAUAGUUGUCUGGAAGAUUGUGUCGAGUUGAUAGAUGGAGGAAUUGAGUUUUUGAGGCAUUGAACAAUACCAAGUUUGCUCUGCCCCAAUCAGAAAUUUUAGAAAGAUCAGAAGUCAGGCGUUCUGUGGCUUCCCUGCGUGAUAUGUUUACCUCCUGAAGGGUUGGACGUCUAUGAAAAGACGUGGAAAAGUGCAGGGUGGUAUCAUCAGCAUAGGAGUGGAUAGGACAAGAAGUUUGGUUUAGAAGAUCAUUAAUGAAUAAUAAGAAGAGAGUGGGUGACAGGACAGAACCCUGAGAAACACCACUGUUAAUAGAUUUAGGAGAAGAACAGUGACCGUCUACCACAGCAGCAAUAGAACGGUCAGAAAGGAAACUUGAGAUGAAGUUACAGAGAGAAGGAUAGAAACCGUAGGAGGGUAGUUUGGAAAUCAAAGCUUUGUGCCAGACUCUAUCAAAGGCUUUUGAUAUGUUCAAGGCAACAGCAAAAGUUUCACCAAAGUCUCUAAAAGAGGAUGACCAAGACUCAGUAAGGAAAGCCAGAAGAUCACCAGUAGAGCGGCCUUGACGGAACCCAUACUGGCGAUCAGAUAGAAGGUUGUGAAGUGAUAGAUGUUUAAGAAUCUUCCUGUUGAGGAUAGAUUCAAAAACUUUAGAUAAGCAGGAAAUUAAAGCAAUAGGACGGUAGUUUGAGGGAUUAGAGCGGUCACCCUUUUUAGGAACAGGUUGAAUGUAGGCAAACUUCCAGCAAGAAGGAAAGGUAGAUGUUGACAGACAGAGCUGAAAGAGUUUGACAAGGCAAGGUGCAAGCACGGAGGCACAGUUUCGGAGAACAAUAGGAGGGACCCCAUCAGGUCCAUAAGCCUUCUGAGGGUUUAGGCCAGCGAGGGCAUGGAAAACAUCAUUACGAAGAAUUUUAAUACGAGGCAUGAAGUAGUCAGAGGGUGGAGGAGAGGGAGAAACAAGCCCAGAAUCGUCCAAGGUAGAGUUUUUAGCAAAGGUUUGAGCAAAGAGUUCAGCUUUAGAAAUAGAUGUGAUAGCAGUGGUGCCAUCUGGUUGAAGUAGAGGAGGGAAAGAAGAAGAAGCAAAGUUAUUGGAGAUAUUUUUGGCUAGAUGCCAGAAAUCACGAGGGGAGUUAGAUCUUGAAAGGUUAUGACAUUUUCUGUUAAUGAAGGAGUUUUUGGCUAGUUGGAGAACAGACUUGGCAUGGUUCCGGGCAGAAAUAUAAAGUGCAUGAGAUUCUGGUGAAGGAAGGCUUAAGUACCUUUUGUGGGCCACCUCUCUAUCAUGUAUAGCACGAGAACAAGCUGUGUUAAACCAAGGUUUAGAAGGUUUAGGACGAGAAAAAGAGUGAGGAAUGUACGCCUCCAUGCCAGACACUAUCACCUCUGUUAUGCGCUCAGCACACAAAGACGGGUCUCUGACACGGAAGCAGUAGUCAUUCCAAGGAAAAUCAGCAAAAUACCGCCUCAGGUCCCCCCAACUAGCAGAGGCAAAACGCCAGAGGCACCUUCGCUUAGGGGGAUCCUGAGGAGGGAUUGGAGUGAUAGGACAAGAUAAAGAUAUGAGAUUGUGAUCGGAGGAGCCCAAUGGAGAAGAAAGGGUGACAGCAUAAGCAGAAGGAUUAGAGGUCAGGAAAAGGUCAAGAAUGUUGGGCGUAUCUCCAAGACGGUCAGGAAUACGAGUAGGGUGUUGCACCAAUUGCUCUAGGUCAUGGAGGAUAGCAAAGUUGUAGGCUAGUUCACCAGGAUGGUCAGUGAAGGGAGAGGACAGUGAUAGAGUGCAAAUCAAGAGGCAUCAAAAGGCUCACAGGUCUAUUACCAUACCAUAUCAAAUUAUCAACGUGGAGUUUUUUUUUCUAUAUAAAGAACCGAUCAAUUUUCAGGCAAAGGUAGCGAGCGUCCAGCCCGAGUUGGCUGUGGGAUGCAGGGCGCUUAUGUCAGGGAGGACUUCACCUAGAUGGCUGAGCACGGCUGCGGCUAUGACUCAUCCAUUCACUCAGUGGGAUGAACAGCCACAGUCACACAGAGCAGGAGACAACUUUCCUUCAGGCGCCCGCACCCCAGGUCGCUUAGCACCGGGGCUGAUGGUCUACCCCUGGACGACCGAAGUCGAGUGUUAAGCCCAGUCAUGUCUUGAUGGCAUUGACAAAGGAGUGGCCAGGCAUCAGAAGGGUGCCGUCCUGCACCCAUCCGUGCGUUUUGGGGGGAGUGAGCCGCUUCCCUCAACCAUCUCCCGUCAGCAGAGGCGUACAGCUGGCCACGGUGAAGCUCUGCCACAGCAGCUCACAUCUCACCAGCGCUUGUGCCGGUGCUCUGCAACAUGUCUGCUAAUCCUGGCCACCCGGUCGUCCGAAGACGCGGCCACGUCUUCAUUCCACGUUUGAGGGUGGGGAUGAGAGAUGUGAAUCUCUGCACUCCCAGACCCCCAUCGCUCGGCAGAUGGAUCGCCUUACGUACAAACCUUCUGACCUCCCGGUCAAACCGUUGGAGGAGGCCUUUCAUGGAAUGCCCCAGCACCCGUUGGUAUUGGUGCCGGGGAAUCAGGACCUGCUUAACCCCCCAGAGCUUCUGCUGGGGUUUGAGGGGUGCCUUCUGGAGGCGUCCCAGGUCCCGAAUCAUGAAGACCAGCGCCCGACCGGAUUCAGCGCGACCCUUUGUCUGCCCAAUCUCAAGACCUAGAUACUUAUACGUCUGCCCUGGCUGCAGACUCUUGAGGGCGACCCCCCCCCCACCCCCCGUGAAGCUGGUAGAGGUGUCGACCAGCCACCUUUUACGCCGUUUAUCAGCCACGAUGUUGAGUGUGGCACAUUUACUGUGGUCGACUUCCAGCCCCACUGCGCCUGCCCCCUCAACCAGGGCAUCUGUUGACAGAACCCAGUCCAGCGUGAUGUUUUGCCAACUCACCGCACCUUGCCACACACACAAACGCGCACACACACCAGCACGGGGGACUGAACACAAAAUAAACGCACCCAAACACCAAACUCGUUACUCUGCAUUGCAGAGUUGCAUUGACAACUAACUGCCGUGUGUGUGUGUGUGUGUGUGUGUGUGUGUGUGUGUGUGUGUGUGUGUGUGUGUGUGUGUUUGCUUUCACUAAUAUAACCCUUGUAUGUUUUAGUUGUUCUUGGUCUUCCCAUUUUCUUCCCAUUCCUACUUAAUACUAUUCCUCCUAAUCAUCCUCCUCCUAAUCCUCCUCGUCCUCCUCUUCCUCCUCCUAUUAUUAUUAUUAUUAUUAUUAUUAUUAUUAUUAUUAUUAUUAUUAUUAUUAAUAGAACGUCCUCCUUGUUGUUGUACCUAAUCAUCUUUCCCCUUCUUGUUCCUCGCAGCAAUUAGUUUAGUCAACGCCUCUAACGUUUUCUCUUUCACCGCUUUUUAGGAAAUAUUAAAAGUGGAAGUCUUGAAGAAAUAUUAAAGUUAUAUUUGGUAGUGAUCAGACCUCAUGUAGACUAUGCUGUGCAGUUGUGAUUCCUUAUUACAGGAAGGAUAUAGGUCAGUUUGUUAGUGCUGGGUCAUUAGGGAGCUUUAAAAGAAGAUUAGACUAAUUUAUGGAUGAGGAUGAUAGGUGGGAAUAGGUAGGCACUUCAUACAAGGGACAGUCACGUGUAGGCCAUGGCUUCCUGCACCAACCCUUGUCUUCUUAGGCUCAUAUAAUUUUUUUUUUUAACAACUUCAUAAUUUCUAAUAGUAUUUAAUUUUGGCAUUCACUUAGUGUAGGUAACACAAGUACCUAUAUAUAUACAUAUAAUUUCCACGUGUAAACUGUACACGACUGGACUGGUCAGUCAUGACAAGGUUGGCCAAAUUAUGUAUCUAUUUUUUUAUUUAUUUUUGUUUAUUUUGCUAGUGGUCUUAAUUACAUCAGAACUACCGUAAUUUUUGGAAUUAACAAAAGAGAAAGGAAACGCAUGAAACGUUUCACGCAUACACGACUGUGUAUGGGAAAGAGAGAAAAAGAUUGUAAUGCUAUGUGUGUGUAAGAGAGAGAAAGCGAGAAACUUUCUAGGGAAUGUGUUAUGAAGUGAAAUAUAUUGCGUGUUCAAAUAAUUUGAGAUGAAAUGUGUUGUGAAACAUGAGAACAAAGUACCACUGAGUGGCCAUUCUCAGUGAGGCAGGCUGGAAGCGUGUACUUUUUGUGUAUCAUAUUAAUUUGUGUUGUGUGGGAUUUUCUGCAGACGUAAUUGGCAUUGUGUUCAUGAAUAAGCGAACCUUGUGUGUGAGAGCUGCUGUAAAUAUAUAUGUGUAUUGCAGCACGUGAAUGGCUAAAACUAUUUCAGGCCAUUUAUCUCUCUGCAGUUAUUUUUCCGAACUGGUUCUUGAAAUGUGAACGUGAAUCCUGGUGGUGAUGUACCUGAUGAGAUAGAGAACCUGAUGAUGAGAGAGAGAGAGAGAGAGAGAGAGAGAGAGAGAGAGAGAGAGAGAGAGAGAGAGAGAGAGAGAGAGAGAGAGAGAGAGAGAGAGAGAGAGAGAAAAUGAAUGAAUGAAU